rnacentral:rRNA from 1 species
GAUCUGCCUUCMSUCWGGGACRRMCCUGGCUAUUGGGUCUAAUACGGGGCCCCACCCCCUUGKGCRUCGGGAGCUGUUGAARGCUCCAGCGGYGAAUGAKAAGCCCGCGKCCUAUCAKCUUGUUGGUGAGGUAGAAGCUCACCAAGGCGACGACGGGUAGCCGGCCUGAGAGGGCGACCGGCCACACUGGGACUGAGACACGGCCCAKACUCCUACGGGAGGCAGCAGUGGGGAAUAUUGCACAAUGGGCGAAAGCCUGAUGCAGCGACGCCGCGUGAGGGAUGACGGCCUUCGGGUUGUAAACCUCUUUCAGCAGGGAAGAAGCGAAAGUGACGGUACCUGCAGAAGAAKCGCCGGCUAACUACGUGCCAGCAGCCGCGGUAAUACGUAGGGCGCAAGCGUUGUCCGGAAUUAUUGGGCGUAAAGAGCUCGUAGGCGGUCUGUCACGUCGGAUGUGAAAGCCCGGGGCUUAACCCCGGGUCUGCWUUCGAUACGGGCAGACUAGAKUGUGGUAGGGGAGAUCC